rnacentral:lncRNA from 1 species
UUCUAAUGGCCUUGCCGAGAACACAGUAAGGCAAGGCCGGCAUCAGGAACGGUGGAGAGGCUUUAAUUGUGGAGGUGGCAGCUGCCAGAGGUGGGACAGGGUGCCCCCGAGAGGCAAAGUCACUGUUUGCACCUGGCUCCACAUGCUAAGAAUCUUUGCAUGAAACAAAGUCCUGGAGUUGUAGCAACUCAUAAAUAACCUUGCUGAAGCCUUCAACUGGUGACCCAGCAGCUUCCAGCUUGUCAAUAGAUGUGAUUGAGUGUAAAGCCUCUUGGCAGCCAUCGUGGAGCUAAGGCAACCCCUGCAGAAGUUACCUCCACAGAGGAUCGACUGCCCACAAUUCCUGGCUGGGGCACCAAAGCCUCAGGAGACAAGCUGAGGCUUUAGACAAACAUCAUACCUUCCCCAAAAUGGUCAUGAAUUGAGGUAAGCCAGAGAGCAU